rnacentral:rRNA from 1 species
GUUGUGGGGCAGCGGCCUACCAAGCCGACGAUCAGUAGCCGACCUGAGAGGGUGACCGGCCACAUUGGGGCUGAGACGCGGCCCAAACUCCUACGGGAGGCGGCAGUGGGGAAUAUUGCACAAUGGGGGAAACCCUGAUGCAGCGACGCCGCGUGAAGGAAGAAGUAUUUCGGUAUGUAAACUUCUAUCAGCAGGGAAGAAACUGACGGUACCUGACUAAGAAGCACCGGCUAAAUAC